GUGGGGAAUAUUGCACAAUGGGCGAAAGCCUGAUGCAGCAACGCCGCGUGAGCGAAGAAGGCCUUUGGGUCGUAAAGCUCUGUCGGGUAGGAAGAUAAUGACGGUACUACCCGAGGAAGCCCCGGCUAACUACGUGCCAGCAGCCGCGGUAAUACGUAGGGGGCGAGCGUUAUCCGGAAUUACUGGGCGUAAAGAGUGCGUAGGUGGCUGCUUAAGCGUGAGGUGAAAGGCAAUGGCUUAACCAUUGUGAGCCUCGCGAACUGGGUGGCUUGAGUGCAGGAGAGGAAAGCGGAAUUCCUAGUGUAGCGGUGAAAUGCGUAGAUAUUAGGAGGAACACCAGUGGCGAAGGCGGCUUUCUGGACUGCAACUGACACUGAGGCACGAAAGCGUGGGGAGCAAACAGGAUUAGAAACCCCAGUAGUCC
rnacentral:rRNA from 1 species